rnacentral:rRNA from 1 species
GACGAACGCUGGCGGCGUGCUUAACACAUGCAAGUCGAACGGAAAGGCCCUGCUUUUGUGGGGUGCUCGAGUGGCGAACGGGUGAGUAACACGUGAGUAACCUGCCCUUGACUUUGGGAUAACUUCAGGAAACUGGGGCUAAUACCGGAUAGGAGCUCCUGCUGCAUGGUGGGGGUUGGAAAGUUUCGGCGGUUGGGGAUGGACUCGCGGCUUAUCAGCUUGUUGGUGGGGUAGUGGCUUACCAAGGCUUUGACGGGUAGCCGGCCUGAGAGGGUGACCGGCCACAUUGGGACUGAGAAACGGCCCAGACUCCUACGGGAGGCAGCAGUGGGGAAUAUUGCACAAGGGGCGGAAGCCUGAUGCAGCAACGCCGGGUGCGGGAUGACGGCCUUCGGGUUGUAAACCGCUUUCGCCUGUGACGAAGCGUGAGUGACGGUAAUGGGUAAAGAAGCACCGGCUAACUACGUG